UGCAGAGGUCCCGAGCGUUGUUCGGAUUCACUGGGCGUAAAGGGUGCGUAGGUGGUGAGGUAAGUCGGAUGUGAAAUCUCCGGGCUCAACCCGGAAAUGGCAUUGGAAACUACCUUGCUGGAGGAUUUGAGGGGGGAUUGGAAUACUUGGUGUAGCAGUGAAAUGCGUAGAUAUCAAGUGGAACACCAGUGGCGAAGGCGAAUCCCUGGAAAAUACCUGACACUGAGGCACGAAAGCUAGGGGAGCAAACAGG
rnacentral:rRNA from 1 species